GAUGAACGCUGGCGGCGUGCCUAAUACAUGCAAGUCGAGCGAACAGAUGAGGAGCUUGCUCCUCUGACGUUAGCGGCGGACGGAUGAGUAACACGUGGAUAACCUACCUAUAAGACUGGGAUAACUUCGGGAAACCGGAGCUAAUACCGGAUAAUAUAUUGAACCGCAUGGUUCAAUAGUGAAAGACGGUUUUGCUGUCACUUAUAGAUGGAUCCGCGCCGCAUUAGCUAGUUGGUAAGGUAACGGCUUACCAAGGCAACGAUGCGUAGCCGACCUGAGAGGGUGAUCGGCCACACUGGAACUGAGACACGGUCCAGACUCCUACGGGAGGCAGAAGUAGGGAAUCUUCCGCAAUGGGCGAAAGCCUGACGGAGCAACGCCGCGUGAGUGAUGAAGGUCUUCGGAUCUUAAAACUCUGUUAUUAGGGAAGAACAAAUGUGUAAGUAACUAUGCACGUCUUGACGGUACCUAAUCAGAAAGCCACGGCUAACUACGUG
rnacentral:rRNA from 1 species